rnacentral:pre_miRNA from 1 species
UGGAGGAACAACCACAGGGGCGGCGGCAGCUCUAGAGCCCUGGAGCCAGCCCCCGCAGUAACUACGGAGCUCUCAGUCUGCAGGGGACUGGAUGCUCCGGGGCGGG